rnacentral:tRNA from 1 species
UGGGGUGUAGUUCAGUGGUAUAGUACAUGCUUAGGAUGCAGGAGGCCCUGGGUUCCAUCCCCAGCACUGCAA